CAGAAGGGUGCAACUAGAAGUAAUCUUGGCAGGGCUUCAGAAACACCACAAGCAACAAGCCUGCAGAAACAGCGGUCAUCAACCCCUGGGGCAUCUGAGCCUUCGUCAACCUAUCAAGAGGAGGUGGAGGAAUUUGGCUUCGCCAGAUCACACAUUCUGGAAGAUUCAGGCUCCUGCACUUGAGCUUCAGCUAUGCUAGACAGGAGUGAUGUGGGCAUUCCGCCACAUGGGCGUUAACAUGAAGUAGAGGUGUCUGCGGUGGCAGCCUCGGAUCUGUGUGGUCCACAGUUAUUCCUUGGUUAGCCUGCUGAGGCUCUGGGAGGAUUGCUGAAGUUAACAAGGUCCGGCCAGGCAUUAACAUGAAGCCCACUAAGCUAGUCAGGUAAGCUGAAAAACAUAAGGAGCACACUACAGCAUUCAUGGCAGAUCCAAC